AUUGAACGCUGGCGGAAUGCCUAACACAUGCAAGUCGAGCGGGGUGUAGCAAUACACCUAGCGGCGGACGGGUGAGCAAUACAUAGGAAUCUACCUUUUAGUGGGGAUAGCCCGGGGAAACCCGGAUUAAUACCGCAUGAUGUCGCAAGACCAAAGCGGGGGACCGUAAGGCCUCGCGCUGAAAGAUGAGCCUAUGUCUGAUUAGCUAGUUGGCGGGGUAAAGCCCACCAAGGCUACGAUCAGUAGCUGGUUUGAGAGAACGAUCAGCCACACCGGAACUGAGACACGGUCCGGACUCCUACGGGAGGCAGCAGUGGGGAAUAUUGGACAAUGGGCGAAAGCCUGAUCCAGCAAUUCCGCGUGUGUGAAGAAGGCCUUCGGUU
rnacentral:rRNA from 1 species